GACGAACGCUGGCGGCGUGCUUAACACAUGCAAGUCGAACGGUGAACCUCUUCGGUGGGGAUCAGUGGCGAACGGGUGAGUAACACGUGGGCAACCUGCCCCCGGCUCUGGGAUAACUCCAAGAAAUUGGGGCUAAUACCGGAUGUUCACCGCUUCCCGCAUGGCUGGUGGUGGAAAGGGUUUCCGGCUGGGGAUGGGCCCGCGGCCUAUCAGCUUGUUGGUGGGGUAGUGGCCUACCAAGGCGAGGACGGGUAGCCGGCCUGAGAGGGUGACCGGCCACACUGGGACUGAGACACGGCCCAGACUCCUACGGGAGGCAGCAGUGGGGAAUAUUGCGCAAUGGGCGGAAGCCUGACGCAGCGACGCCGCGUGGGGGAUGACGGCCUUCGGGUUGUAAACCUCUUUCGGCAGGGACGAAGCGCAAGUGACGGUACCUGCAGAAGAAGCACCGGCCAACUACGUG
rnacentral:rRNA from 1 species